rnacentral:lncRNA from 1 species
CUAAUUUUCUCCCAAGAAGUGAUUUUAUUUUUCAGGCUGAGAGUAGGGAGGAGAAGAAAGAUGAAGAACAGGAAAGAGAAACUAGUGCCUGUAUCAGCUCAUGACCUUGCUGUUAAAAAUGAGGGGCCUGAGACUGAGAGGGUUUUGUUUAUUUUUUAUAUAUUUUAUCAUUCUAGAUUUAUCUGAGAAAAGCCUCCUGAGAGCUUCCAAAUAUCCAGGAACAUAGUUAGAGGGAUAUUUGAGAUACUAUGAAGGGCAUGGAUUUUUAACUUCUGAAUUACAAGAUGUCUCUAAACCCAACAGAGAGAAGGUGCUCACUGUUAAGCUCAGCAGUGAUCUUGCACAAUGCUGGACUUGAUGUACUCGUGUCUACUCAAACUACUGAAAGUGAAGAGAUCAGAAGACUGAGGCACAGAAAGAUAAGUAAUUUGCAUCAGCUCACACAGCUAAUAAAUGAUGGAAUCAUGAUUUGAACCCAGGAAGUUGGCUUCAGAGCUUUCUCUAGAAGGCUGUGGUAUGUUGUGCUGGGAUAGAAAUCUUUAAUUUUAAUAGAAUCUUAAAAUAGAUGGAUAAUAAUACAUUUUAAUCUCAGACUAAAAACAUAUAGCAGGAGCAACAAAAAUGUUGUUAAAAUUCUUCCACAUAAACUGUAAGAGCUCUCCACAUUAAGACAUCAUAUUUGCCCCCAUACAUGUGCUGUGUACACUGUUCCUCCUUCCUGUCUUUCCUAGACCAUCUAAUCUGACCCUCACGCCAACACUCUUUCUACCCCAAACUACUUCAUGUGCUCUGGAUAUCAACAAAGCUGUCAUGCAGUGAAAUUAGAUAUAAUGAUGAAUCAUAUUCCUAAGUUUCCAAAUGAUAAAAUAGAGUUGAAUAAUUUAAUCUAUAAAAUUCUAGAACAACUAGACCUAACCUAGUAAGACUCUUAAAAUGACUGUAAUGACCCUUUAGUUAUCCUAGAAUGUCCUAUUCUGCUCCUGUCUCUUGAUCCCAUCGAAUGUGUUUUCCUUCAGGUAUUAUAUGUAUGAGAAAAAAGCUUUCUUGUGUUGUUUUAAAUCCAAUUCUUUUUGUUAUUGUUUCAUUACUAAAAUUUUUACUGCUGUCUACUCUUUUUUUUUUUUUCCAGUACAUGUGUCUUUGGAAAUAUUACUAUUAGUUCAACAAAUGAGCCUGGGAGUCUAUUACUUAAAAUAGAUUUGUAAAGCAUAAUUUUUUUGUGAGUUGAAGUUU